GUGAGAAUGUUGGCAUGAGUAGCGAGAUGUGGGUGGGAAUCCCACAGGCCGUAAACCCAAGGUUUCCAGGGGAAGGUUCGUCCACCCUGGGUUAGUCGGGACCUAAGCUGAGGCCGAAAGGCGUAGGUGAUGGACAACAGGUUGAUAUUCCUGUACUACCGAUAACCGUUUGAGAGAAGGGAUGACACAGUAGGAUAAGCUAAGCACACUG
rnacentral:rRNA from 1 species